rnacentral:rRNA from 1 species
CAGUAGCCGCGGUAAUACGUAGGUCCCGAGCGUUGUCCGGAUUUAUUGGGCGUAAAGCGAGCGCAGGCGGUUAGAUAAGUCUGAAGUUAAAGGCUGUGGCCUAACCAUAGUACGCUUUGGAAACUGUUUAACUUGAGUGCAAGAGGGGAGAGUGGAAUUCCAUGUGUAGCGGUGAAAUGCGUAGAUAUAUGGAGGAACACCGGUGGCGAAAGCGGCUCUCUGGCUUGUAACUGACGCUGAGGCUCGAAAGCGUGGGGAGCAAACAGGAUUAGAUACCCCCGUAGUCCCUGUCUCUUAUACA